UACGAAGGGGGCUAGCGUUGCUCGGAAUCACUGGGCGUAAAGCGCACGUAGGCGGCUUACUAAGUCAGGGGUGAAAUCCUGGAGCUCAACUCCAGAACUGCCUUUGAUACUGGAUGGCUUGAAUCCGGGAGAGGGAUGCAGAAUUCCAGGUGUAGCGGUGAAAUGCGUAGAUAUCUGGAGGAACACCGGUGGCGAAGGCGGUUCUCUGGGCCUUACCUGACGCUGAGGAGCGAAAGCAUGGGGAGCAAACAGG
rnacentral:rRNA from 1 species